AGCGAACGCUGGCGGCAGGCUUAACACAUGCAAGUCGAGCGGGCACUUUCGGGUGUCAGCGGCGGACGGGUGAGUAACGCGUGGGAACGUGCCCUCUGGUUCGGAAUAACUCAGGGAAACUUGAGCUAAUACCGGAUACGCCCUUUUGGGGAAAGGCUUGCUGCCGGAGGAUCGGCUCGAGUCGGAUUAGCUUGUUGUUGAGUUAACGUCUCACCAAGGCGACGAUCAGUAUUUGGUAUGAGAGGAUGGGCAGCCACACCGGGACUGAGACACAGCACAGAAUCCUACGCGAGGGAGCAGUGGGGAAUGUUGGAAAAUGGGCGGAAGCAUGAUCCAGCCAUGCCGGGUGAGUGAUGAAGGCCUUAGGGUUGUAAAGCGCUUUUAUCCGGGACGAUCAUGACGGUACCGGAGGAAUAAGCCCCGGCUAACUUCGUG
rnacentral:rRNA from 1 species